rnacentral:lncRNA from 1 species
AGGAGGAAAAAAGCACGUUUUGCGUUUCCCUUUGGCUUGAUGUAGCAGCUAAUGGUUGAUGAUGCUUGGUGGGGAAUAAUGGAGACAAGGAAGAUGUGUGUGAAUCCUGAACUCCAACUGGAGCUGGUGUGUCAGUUGGACAUGCUAAAGGCUAAAAGGGAAGUACCUCCAGCUUGCACUGCAUGACACCAUCAUCAUCAUAUUAACCACAUCGUCGCAGCCAGUGUGACCGUGCAUCUUGGUCUGCCCGGGAAAAUUCCAGUUUAAUCCUAAGGUGCUGCCAUCAUUCUUAAUAACACACCUUUUUACUCUCGAAGCUGUCCCAAUGUGAUGAUAAAUGAUAUAGCCACUGAAGUC